AAUAAGUACAGUUUUAGCAGUAUUCAUGUUCAACGUUUGACCGUUCGUCUUAUUUAAAAAAAAGAUUAUGAUUAGUAUUUUUAUUGUUAUUAGAUGAUAAAACAUGAAUAAUACUUUAUGUGUGACUAAUUUUUGUAAUAUUUUUUAUAAAUUUUUUAAAUAAGACGGAUGGUCAAAGCGCUAAACACGGAUAUUUAUGGCUGCACUUAUU
rnacentral:pre_miRNA from 1 species